AUUAAAAUAAAAAGAUUAUCUCAAGGUGCAUGAGGCCAAAUUCUAAUCUAUUUUAGUCCUCAUUGAUAUGUUUAUCAAGAUUGUGUAAUAUCUUCUGUGAAUGAUGGGUGGAUGAAAAAUUUAAUAAGGAAACAGAUUUUAUUGUGAAAAGACCACUAAAAAUGGCAUUACCUAGAAAUGAAAUUUGACCUUUAUUAUUUGAGUUGAAAGAGGAGAAACUUGUCAAAUUGUUCUGAGAAAUUAGCUUUUUUUCAUUUUCUGAAACUUGUGACUGACUGAAUAUAUAAAAAUUUUCACUAUGCCCAAAACUCCCAUGGCAUCCAUGUUACCUAUAGUGAUUUGGUGAAUCAAGCAGAGCAGUUAACACUGCAGACUAUAGAACUGAAGGAGAUUAAAGAGUGAACCCACAGUACUUUAUUGACCUAGGUCCCCACAUUAACCUGAUCUGAUCCUGUAAUUACUAUGAAUAGAAUAGGGCUUACAGUUCUCUUUAAUAACACCCCAGGCUUUUUUAUUCUAUAAAGAGAUUUUCUAUUCAUGUUCUUUAUUCCUUUCCAGAUUUACAGAUUUGUAGCAAGAAAGAAUGUGUGUGGCUUUGCUAACACACCGGGAGAGAAAGAUACCUAAUGUUCAUGGGCAGUAAGUCCAACAUGUCCACUUUUUUUUUUUUCUUUUUGGAGCUGAACUUACUUUAAAGUCAUAUUUCAAAUUAUCCAAUCACCUCUUGCUGUUUAAAAGGAAUAAAAGUUGAGUUAGAAAUUGACUAAUUAUAAGGAAGAUUGGGCUUUAAACUUAGGAAACUACUAAAAGAUCAUAAUUUCAUAGUAUUCUUCUCAUUGUAACUUUUAGAGUGCUUACCUUUAAACUCAUAUUGAAAACCAUUAGCUACUUUAACCUCAUCAGAAUGAUAUAUAGUCAGAAUAAUUGUGCAUUUGAGUGAUAUGCAAUGC
rnacentral:lncRNA from 1 species